rnacentral:rRNA from 1 species
AACGCGAAGAACCUUACCUGGGCUUGAACCGCUACUGACCAACGGUAGAAAUAUCGUCUUCCCGCAAGGGACAGUAGUAGAGGUGCUGCAUGGCUGUCGUCAGCUCGUGCCGUGAGGUGUUGGGUUAAGUCCCGCAACGAGCGCAACCCUUAUUCGUAGUUGCCACCCGCAAGGGGGAACUCUACGAGGACUGCUCCGGAUAACGGAGAGGAAGGUGGGGAUGACGUCAAGUCAGCACGGCCUUUAUGUCCAGGGCUACACACGUGUUACAAUGCACGGUACAGACUGUUGCGAACCCGCGAGGGGGAGCCAAUCGGAUAAAACCGUGCUCAGUUCGGAUUGCAGUCUGCAACUCGACUGCAUGAAGCUGGAAUCGCUAGUAAUGGCGUAUCAGAUCGACGCCGUGAAUACGUUCCCGGGCCUUGUA